ACCAACCACCACGCCCGCUUUCUUAUGAAAAGAUGCAAAAAUCGAGUGCUGCUUUACUACAAUGCGUCGAUUUGUGAGAACUUAGUUGCAAAAAACGGCGAUAUUCGGUCUGUACUUUUGUUGGUUGGGCGUGGCAGAAAGGCCUUUAGGCAGCAGCUCAAAGCAGCUGGUUUUGUCGAAAUCGACAAGGUCAUCGAUAGAGCUGUACAUUU